CCCGCCUGUAUACCAGAUGUGGGCACCCGUGGUAUCCUCCACCAGGGGUUGUUUCUCUUCUGUGCUGCCUGAACCCAUCAGCAACAAUCAGCAACUUUACAACAGAGGAGAGAUAACUUCAUGGGGAGGAAUAAUCAUACGGAUCCUGAGAAGCGGAAGUUAAGAUGACUGCUCCAAUGGAAUACAUACCACGGGGGUCAAAUACAUAUAUAUGGUGCUAAUUGUAAUAAUUAAAGAUCAUUACAGAAGUC